AAUAGAUACCCGGGUAGUCCACGCCGUAAACGAUGAGUGCUAAGUGUUAGAGGGUUUCCGCCCUUUAGUGCUGCAGCUAACGCAUUAAGCACUCCGCCUGGGGAGUACGGCCGCAAGGCUGAAACUCAAAGGAAUUGACGGGGGCCCGCACAAGCGGUGGAGCAUGUGGUUUAAUUCGAAGCAACGCGAAGAACCUUACCAGGUCUUGACAUCCUCUGACCCUCCUAGAGAUAGGACUUUCCCCUUCGGGGGACAGAGUGACAGGUGGUGCAUGGUUGUCGUCAGCUCGUGUCGUGAGAUGUUGGGUUAAGUCCCGCAACGAGCGCAACCCUUGAUCUUAGUUGCCAGCAUUCAGUUGGGCACUCUAAGGUGACUGCCGGUGACAAACCGGAGAAAGGUGGGGAUGACGUCAAAUCAUCAUGCCCCUUAUGACCUGGGCUACACACGUGCUACAAUGGGUGGUACAAAGGGCAGCGAAAUCGCGAGAUUGAGCUAAUCCCAUAAAACCACUCUCAGUUCGGAUUGCAGG
rnacentral:rRNA from 1 species